GGCACGGUAGCCAAGUGGUAAGGCAGAGGUCUGCAAAACCUCUAUUCAGGGGUUCGAUUCCCCUCCGUGCCU
rnacentral:tRNA from 1 species